UAAUCUAAUAUGGCAGAUUAGUGCAAUGGAUUUAAACCCCAUUAAUAAAGGCUCCUCCCUCCCUUUUUUUAGAAA
rnacentral:tRNA from 1 species